rnacentral:rRNA from 1 species
CAGGAUUAGAGACCCUGGUAGUCCUAGCUGUAGACGCUGGAUGCUAGUUGUGGACCGGAAAGGUCCGUGCCGGAGUUAACGCAAUAAGCAUCCCGCCUGGGGAGUACGCCCGCAAGGCUAAAACUCAGACGUAUUGACGGGGACCCGCACAAGCAGCGGAGCGUGUGGUUUAAUUCGAUGCUACGCGAAGAACCAUUACCUGGGUUUGACAUGUAAGUGGUAGUGAAGUGAAAGCGGUGCGACCGUUCGGGGAGCCUACACAGGUGAUGCAUGUGCGGUAGUCAGCUCGUGCAGUGAUGUGGUCGGAUUAAGUCCCGGAACGAGCGCAACCUUGGCCCUUAGUUACAAGUGUCUAGGGAGACUGCCGGUGACAAACCGGAGGAAGGUGGGGAUGACGUCAAGUCAGCAUGGCCCUUAUGUCCACGGGCGACACACACGCUACAAUGGUCGGUACAAUGGCCAGCGCAACCGCGAGGUGAAGCGAAUCCCCAACAAAGCCGAUCCCAGUUCUGGAUUGCAGGCUGCAACCUGCCUGCAUGAAGCUGGAGUUGCUAGUAUCCGCGCGUCAGCCAUAGUGCGGUGAUACGUUCCCGGGUCUUUGUACACACCGCCCAGUCACGUCAUGGGAG